rnacentral:rRNA from 1 species
GGGGACCCGCAAGCGGUGGAUGAUGUGGAUUAAUUCGAUGCAACGCGAAAAACCUUACCUACCCUUGACAUGUACGGAAGGCCUGAGAGAUCUGGGUGUGCUCGAAAGAGAACCGUAACACAGGUGCUGCAUGGCUGUCGUCAGCUCGUGUCGUGAGAUGUUGGGUUAAGUCCCGCAACGAGCGCAACCCUUGUCAUUAGUUGCUACGAAAGGGCACUCUAAUGAGACUGCCGGUGACAAACCGGAGGAAGGUGGGGAUGACGUCAAGUCCUCAUGGCCCUUAUGGGUAGGGCUUCACACGUCAUACAAUGGUACAUACAGAGGGCCGCCAACCCGCGAGGGGGAGCUAAUCCCAGAAAGUGUAUCGUAGUCCGGAUCGCAGUCUGCAACUCGACUGCGUGAAGUUGGAAUCGCUAGUAAUCGCGGAUCAGCAUGUCGCGGUGAAUACGUUCCCGGGGUCUUGUACACACC